AGAGUUUGAUCAUGGCUCAGAUUGAACGCUGGCGGCAUGCCUUACACAUGCAAGUCGAACGCGAAAGUGGGGGCAACCCUGCGAGUAGAGUGGCGAACGGGUGAGUAACACAUCGGAACGUACCCAGGAGUGGGGGACAACCUCGAGAAAUCGAGGCUAAUACCGCAUACGUCCUGAGGGAGAAAGCGGGGGAUCUGCAAGGACCUCGCGCUCAUGGAGCGGCCGAUGUCGGAUUAGCUAGUUGGCGGGGUAAAAGCCCACCAAGGCUACGAUCCGUAGCUGGUUUGAGAGAACGACCAGCCACACUGGGACUGAGACACGGCCCAGACUCCUACGGGAGGCAGCAGUGGGGAAUUUUGGACAAUGGGGGCAACCCUGAUCCAGCCAUGCCGCGUGAGUGAAGAAGGCCUUCGGGUUGUAAAGCUCUUUCGGCCGGAACGAAAUCGCGUACGUGAAUAACGUGCGUGGAUGACGGUACUGGAAGAAGAAGCACCGGCUAACUACGUGCCAGCAGCCGCGGUAAUACGUAGGGUGCGAGCGUUAAUCGGAAUUACUGGGCGUAAAGCGUGCGCAGGCGGUUCUGCAAGUCAGAUGUGAAAUCCCCGGGCUUAACCUGGGAACUGCGUUUGAAACUACGGAGCUAGAGUACGGCAGAGGGGGGUGGAAUUCCCGUGUAGCAGUGAAAUGCGUAGAUAUGUGGAGGAACACCGAUGGCGAAGGCAGCCCCCUGGGCCGAUACUGACGCUCAGGCACGAAAGCGUGGGGAGCAAACAGGAUUAGAUACCCUAGUAGUCC
rnacentral:rRNA from 1 species